CCAGUUGUCUCUUUCAGUUGGAGGCUGUGCAGUGACGCUCAGCCAUCACCGGAAAAGGGCUUCUAAUAGCCUUCACUGGUCUCCAUCGAGAACAACGGGAUCUGUUGGUCCAUU